rnacentral:misc_RNA from 1 species
GAUGAAGAACGUAGCGAAAUGCGAUAAGUAAUGUGAAUUGCAGAAUUCAGUGAAUCAUAGAAUCUUUGAACGCACAUUGCGCCCCUUGGUAUUCCGAGGGGCAUGCCUGUUCGAGCGUCAUUAUAACCCCUCAAGCUCAGCUUGGUGUUGGGGCCUGCUGCACUGGCAGCCCUUAAAAUCAGUGGCGGCGCCAUCUGGCUCUAAGCGUAGUAAUUCUUCUCGCUAUGGAGUCCUGGUGGAUGCUUGCCAUCAACCCCCAAUUUUUCUAUGGUUGACCUCGGAUCAGGUAGGGAUACCCGCUGAACUUAAGCAUAUCAAUAAGCGGAGGA